GACGAACGCUGGCGGCGUGCUUAACACAUGCAAGUCGCACGGGACUGGGGGCAACUCCAGUUCAGUGGCGGACGGGUGCGUAACACGUAAGUAACAUGUCCAAGGGUGGGGGAUAGCCGGCCCAACGGCCGGGUAAUACCGCAUGCAGUCACGGGGGACAUCCUCGGUGACGAAAGCCGGGGCAACCUGGCGCCCAUGGAGUGGCUUGCGGCCUAUCAGCUAGUUGGUGAGGUCACGGCUCACCAAGGCGACGACGGGUAGCUGGUCUGAGAGGAUGAUCAGCCACAUUGGGACUGAGACACGGCCCAGACACCUACGGGUGGCAGCAGUUUCGAAUCAUUCACAAUGGGCGAAAGCCUGAUGGUGCGACGCCG
rnacentral:rRNA from 1 species